GACGAACGCUGGCGGCGUGCUUAACACAUGCAAGUCGAACGGAAAGGCCCUGCUUUUGUGGGUUGCUCGAUUGGCGAACGGGUGAGUAACACGUGAGUAACCUGCCCUUGACUUUGGGAUAACUUCUGGAAACUGGGGCUCAUACCGGAUAGGAGCUCCUGCUGCAUGGUGGGGGUUGGUAAGUUUCGGCGGUUGGGGAUGGACUCGCGGCUUAUCCGCUUGUUGGUGGGGUAGUGGCUUACCAAGGCUGUGACGGGUAGCCGGCCUGAGAGGGUGACCGGCCACAAUGGGACUGAGAGACGGCCCAGACGCCUACGGGAGGCAGCAGUGGGGAAUAUUGCACAAUGGGCGGAAGCCUGAUGCAGCAACGCCGCGUGCGGGAUGACGGCCUUCGGGUUGUAAACCGCUUUCGCCUGUGACGAAGCGUGAGUGACGGUAAUGGGUAAAGAAGCACCGGCUAACUACGUG
rnacentral:rRNA from 1 species